rnacentral:rRNA from 1 species
GAUGGACGCUAGCGGCAGGCCUAACACAUGCAAGUCGAGGGGUAGAGGCUUUCGGGCCUUGAGACCGGCGCACGGGUGCGUAACGCGUAUGCAAUCUGCCUUACACUAUGGGAUAGCCCAGAGGAAUUUGGAUUAAUACCAUAUAGUAUAUUGAUGUGGCAUCACAUUAUUAUUAAAGAUUUAUCGGUGUAAGAUGAGCA